UACGAAGGGGGCUAGCGUUGUUCGGAAUUACUGGGCGUAAAGGGCGCGUAGGCGGCCUUGAUAGUUGGGCGUGAAAGGCCUGGGCUUAACCCGGGAACUGCGUUCAAUACUGUAAGGCUAGAGUGUGGGAGAGGUUGGUGGAAUUCCCAGUGUAGAGGUGAAAUUCGUAGAUAUUGGGAAGAACACCGGUGGCGAAGGCGGCCAACUGGACCACAACUGACGCUGAGGCGCGAAAGCGUGGGGAGCAAACAGGAUUAGAUACCCUGGUAGUCCACGCUGUAAACUAUGUGUGCUUGACGUCGGGGGGCCUAGCCCUUCGGUGUCGGAGCUAACGCGGUAAGCACACCGCCUGGGGAGUACGGUCGCAAGAUUA
rnacentral:rRNA from 1 species